AGAAGAGAGAGCAACAGUAAUAAAGGAACUAUUGAUCUCAUCCACACCUGAGAUCGAAUCGGAACCCUAACUCCUUGAAGAAAAUCAUGUGGAGAAGACUUUCUUCCCAGGUUCGGACUCUAAGCCCACUCCGAUCUACCGCUAAAUCCAAUCGCCUUUCCGCCGCCGCCACCCUACCUUCUUCUCCGGCGACUUUUCGACCUACGGUUCCUUUCAUAGCCCGCCACUUCAGUACUGCUUCUGCGAAUGUUGUUAAGAAAGUAGAGGAUGUAAUGCCAAUUGCUACUGGUCAUGAGCGCGAAGAGCUUGAAGCUGAGAUUCAAGGAAAGGAUCUUCUCGCCAUUAACUUUCCUGAGGGUCCUUUCGGCACAAAGGAAGCACCAGCUGUUGUUGAAUCCUACUACGACAAAAGAAUUGUAGGAUGUCCAGGAGAUGAAGGCGAAGACGAACAUGAUGUUGUUUGGUUCUGGCUAGAAAAGGGCAAGCCACAUGAAUGCCCA
rnacentral:misc_RNA from 1 species